rnacentral:lncRNA from 1 species
CCCACAUUGCUGUCGUAUAGCCAAGUGGGCUUUAUAUUAUCGCUAUAUGGCUUUAGGGGAAACUUAUAUAGGCUGUUCUUGAGGCCGUCAGGCCGUUAAAAUCCGUAAAAACCACAUCUCUAAGAUUCUAUGGGUCAGAAUAAGAGGAAAAAAUAGAGAGGAGAAUAAGAGAAUGAGAACAGCCCCAAGAUAUAGAAAAGAGAAGAAACUCUUAGAAAGUCUAGUAAAAGACCUUUUCUGUGAUACCGGUCAUCGGUUUGGCCCGCCAACUAAACAAUUGAAAUAACAAUGGAGUCUACCAAAAUUGAUUCCGUUGAUUUCUACUUGACUAAUCUUCAUAGUUCAUCUUGUAUCUCGUUCCUCAAGUGGUGUUGAAAUACCGCAGAAACUAUACGACAACCUAAGACAGAAAAUUGUAACAAAAUAAAGGAAAGAUAAGCCAAACGACCAACCGCCGUCUCUCUUCCUAUUGAUGAAGAGGAAGAAAGACUUCCCUUUCAUUUCAUUUUUCUUCUUCGCUACUUCUUGUGUCAGUUUCGCCAUUUAUCGCUUUUAUCACCUUUUACGCUGCGUGAAUAGAUUAGAAUAUCGGGAAUGAUGCGGCAAGACCAUUUCUCAUCAGAAUUUUUUGGGGAAAGGGGUUUUCGAAUGAGCAAUACUGUUGAACGAGCUUAUUGGGUUGGCCCAGCUAAUCACCCUUUUUUUUUUAUUUUUAUGUUAAAAAUAAACAAUUACAAUGAUUGAAAUGUUGUAUAUUUUAUCUUAACUGUUUUGUGAUAUCUAUAUAAAUUUUGGCAAAAUCAAAACUGAAUUAGAUUUUGAUGUACAUAUAAUCGCCGAAAUCGGUCACAACGGCUCUUUCUUUUCACUACUCUCCCAUAGCGACAUACGUGUGCGCAAUACAAGUGAACAAGAACGCAUUCCAGCAAGUUAUGUAUUCGAUCUCUUUUUCUACCAUUCAACUUUCGCGUCCAUGGUUGGAUGUAUGACUAAUUCUCCUGGAGAUCUAAAUGGGAAGAUCGCUCAUUUAAUAACAAAUUUAAAUUUGCCUUUGCGAAUUAUAUUGUACGAAAUGCUAAUUAAACAAUUUUUUAUUAUUAUUGCUACAGUAUCACAAUCUGCGGUUUUUAGAAAAGGGAGGAAUUAAACCGUCAUCAGUAUUUUUUCAUGGCUAACGGAGUUCUAGUUGUUCAAGGGAAAGGUGUUUGUGCCGAACUUUACAAUGUUCACUGGUGAAGAACUUAUCGAUACAACCGAACCCUUUCUGGAAAGAUGUACUUCAAAACUGUUGACAGUGCCGAGUCGGUUUUACUGUAUAGUGCAAAAUGUGACAAAAUUCAACCCUAGUGCCGAAAGUGUAGGCAAACAUUUUUGUGAAUCCCAAUUUUCCAAUAAACCUACAGUGAAGGGAUAUGUUACAGGAAUGCUAAUCGAUAAUUUAAUUUUCCAUAACUUUUCUUUAAACAAAAAAGAGAUAAUUAUUACAAAUUACUCAUUCAGACGCAGGGUCUCGACUUAUUCGUCCAACGCUUGCUAGGAAGAAGCAAAUGAAAACAAAUUAAAAGUAACCGAGUAUUGCAAACGUGCACCCUGCUUUCCGAAAUCCUUUUCCGUUUCCCUCUUUUCUUUUCCUAUAGGCUAAACUUUUAGUUUUAAUUCGGAAAGCUCAAUGCCUGGAAGGAGACGAAGCGCCUUGCGAGUGGCUCGGGUUCUUAUCGCUUGGCUACUUUCGAUCGACACUUCUCAAUAAAUCCAUCAGGGAUAAAUAUCAUGUUGUGGUUUUAAAUUUCUUAUUUGGAAACCCUUUCCAUGUGUAGAUGUAUGCCUAUUAUAAAGAAGGUCUAAAUGGCCCCUUGCCCGUGGGUUUGAGAUCCCCCAAUCAUUUAUUCACUUGUCGUGCCACGGAACAAAGCAAGGUUUUAUUAAUUUUUACAAAAAU